rnacentral:rRNA from 1 species
CCCAGACUCCUACGGGAGGCAGCAGUGGGGAAUAUUGGGCAAUGGGCGCAAGCCUGACCCAGCAACGCCGCGUGAAGGAAGAAGGCUUUCGGGUUGUAAACUUCUUUUCUCAGGGACGAAGAAAGUGACGGUACCUGAGGAAUAAGCCACGGCUAACUACGUGCCAGCAGCCGCGGUAAUACGUAGGUGGCAAGCGUUAUCCGGAUUUACUGGGUGUAAAGGGCGUGUAGGCGGGAAAGCAAGUCAGAUGUGAAAACCACGGGCUCAACCUGUGGCCUGCAUUUGAAACUGUUUUUCUUGAGUACUGGAAAGGCAGACGGAAUUCCUAGUGUAGCGGUGAAAUGCGUAGAUAUUAGGAGGAACACCAGUGGCGAAGGCGGUCCGCUGGACAGCAACUGACGCUGGGGCGCGAAAGCGUGGGGAGCAAACAGGAUUAGAUACCCGCGUAUC